CCGUGAGGGAAAGGUGAAAAGAACCCCGGGAGGGGAGUGAAAUAGAACCUGAAACCUUAUGCCUACAAGCAGAUAGAGUCUUAAGAGAGAUGAUAUCGUACUUUUUGUAGAACGGGCCAGCGAGUUAUGGUGUGCGGCAAGGUUAAGUAAUGAAGUUACGGAGCCGUAGGGAAACCGAGUCUGAAUAGGGCGGAUAAGUCGUAUGCCAUAGACCCGAAACCAGGUGAUCUAUCCAUGAGCAGGUUGAAGUGAAAGUAAAAUUUCAUGGAGGACCGAACCGGGUAGCGUUUAAAAGCUAUCGGAUGACUUGUGGAUAGGGGUGAAAAGCCAAUCGAACUUGGAGAUAGCUGGUUCUCCUCGAAAUAGCUUUAGGGCUAGCCUCAAUUUAGUUUACAGGGGGUAGAGCACUGAAUACCGUAGGGGUGUUAGACAUUACCGAAAGUUAUCAAACUGCGAAUACCUGAUAAAUGAUGAUUGGGAGUCAGACUAUGUGGGAUAAGCUUCAUAGUCAAAAGGGAAAGAGCCCAGACCACCAGCUAAGGUCCCUAAAUAUAGAUUAAGUGGAAAAGGAUGUUUUACUACUCAGACAACCAGGAUGUUGGCUUAGAAGCAGCCAUACAUUUAAAGAGUGCGUAAUAGCUCACUGGUCAAGUGGUAGAGCGCCGAAAAUGAACGGGGCUAAAAUCUAAUACCGAAGCUGUGGACUAAUUAAAUUAGUGGUAGAGGAGCAUUGUGUAAGGGAUGAAGCUAAGCUGGAAGGCGAAGUGGACUUUACAGAAGAGAGAAUGCUGGCAUGAGUAGCGAAAAGGAGGGUGAGAAUCCCUCCCGUCGAAAGCCUAAGGAUUCCUGAGGAAGGCUCGUCCUCUCAGGGUAAGUCGGGGCCUAAGCCCAGGCUGAAAAGCGUAAGCGAUGGACAACAGGUUGAGAUUCCUGUACUAUCUUUGAAUGUUUGAGAGAAGUACUGACGCAGGAGGAUAUGUUGAGCGUGUGAAUGGUAGAGCACGUCUAAGCAAGUAGGUAGAGAAUAGAGGCAAAUCCCUAUUCUUAAUAUCGAGAUGUGAUGGGGAGCGAAAAACAAGUAGUGAAGCAACAAAUUCCAAACUGCCAAGAAAAGGUACUAUUGAGUGAGAAGAUACCCGUACCAAAACCGACACAGGUAGGCAAGGAGAGAAUCCUAAGACGCGCGGAAGAACCUUUGUUAAGGAACUCGGCAAAAUGACCCCGUAACUUCGGGAGAAGGGGUACCAUUAGAUGUGAUAUACAUACGUAUGGAGCAUAGAGUGGUCGCAGAGAAUAGGCCCAAGCAACUGUUUACCAAAAACACAAGUCUCUGCUAAAUCGAAAGAUGAAGUAUAGGGGCUGACACCUGCCCGGUGCUGGAAGGUUAAGGGGAAAUGUUAGAGCAAUCGAAGCAUAGAACUUAAGCCCCAGUAAACGGCGGCCGUAACUAUAACGGUCCUAAGGUAGCGAAAUUCCUUGUCGGGUAAGUUCCGACCCGCACGAAAGGCGUAAUGAUUUGAGCGCUGUCUCGACAAUGCAUCCGGUGAAAUUGAAGUACCAGUGAAGAUGCUGGUUACCUGCGCCAGGACGGAAAGACCCCAUGGAGCUUUACUCCAGUCUGGUACUGGGACUCGGUAUUGCAUGUACAGGAUAGGUGGGAGGCUAGGAGAUGGUAACGCCAGUUGCCAUGGAGCCGCUGUUGGGAUACCACCCUUGCAGUAUUGGGUUUCUAACCAGCCGCCGUGACCCGGCGGUGGGACAAUGCCAGACGGGGAGUUUGACUGGGGCGGUCGCCUCCGAAAGGGUAUCGGAGGCGCCCAAAGGUUCCCUCAGAAUGGACGGAAACCAUUCGAAGAGUGCAAAGGCAGAAGGGAGCUUGACUGCGACACCGACGGGUGGAGCAGGUACGAAAGUAGGACUUAGUGAUCCGGUGGUAUAAAGUGGGAUUGCCAUCGCUCAACGGAUAAAAGCUACCCUGGGGAUAACAGGCUUAUCACUCCCAAGAGUUCACAUCGACGGAGUGGUUUGGCACCUCGAUGUCGGCUCAUCGCAUCCUGGGGCUGUAGUAGGUCCCAAGGGUUGGGCUGUUCGCCCAUUAAAGCGGUACGCGAGCUGGGUUCAGAACGU
rnacentral:rRNA from 1 species